AUUGAACGCUGGCGGCAGGCCUAACACAUGCAAGUCGAGCGGAGCGGCGGACGGGUGAGUAAUGCCUAGGAAUCUGCCUGGUCGUGGGGGAUAACGUCCGGAAACGGGCGCUAAUACCGCAUACUCUCAGAUGAGCCUAGGGCGGAUUGGCUAGUUGGUGGGGUAAAGGCCUACCAAGGCGACGAGCCGUAACUGGUCUGAGAGGAUGAUCAGUCACACUGGAACGGGAACACGGUCCAGACUCCAACGGGAGGAAGCGGUGGGAAAUAUUGGAAAAUGGGCGAAAGCCGGAGCCGGCCAGGCCGCGUGUGUGAAGAAGGUCUUGGGAUUGAAAAGCACUUUAAGUUGGGAGACGUUACCAACAGAAAAAGCACGGGCAAACUUCGUGCCAGAGCCGCGGUAAUAC
rnacentral:rRNA from 1 species